rnacentral:rRNA from 1 species
GAUGAACGCUGGCGGCGUGCCUAAUACAUGCAAGUCGAGCGAACAGACGAGGAGCUUGCUCCUCUGACGUUAGCGGCGGGCGGGUGAGUAACACGUGGAUAACCUACCUAUAAGACUGGGAUAACUUCGGGAAACCGGAGCUAAUACCGGAUAAUAUAUUGAACCGCAUGGUUCAAUAGUGAAAGACGGUUUUGCUGUCACUUAUAGAUGGAUCCGCGCCGCAUUAGCUAGUUGGUAAGGUAACGGCUUACCAAGGCAACGAUGCGUAGCCGACCUGAGAGGGUGAUCGGCCACACUGGAACUGAGGCACGGUCCAGACUCCUACGGGAGGCAGCAGUAGGGAAUCUUCCGCAAUGGGCGAAAGCUUGACGGAGCAACGCCGCGUGAGUGAUGAAGGUCUUCGGAUCGUAAAACUCUGUUAUUAGGGAAGAACAAAUGUGUAAGUAACUAUGCACGUCUUGACGGUACCUAAUCAGAAAGCCACGGCUAACUACGUG